CUCAGGCUCUCAGGCCUUCAGGCUCAGACUGAGAGAUCACUGUUGGCUUCCUUGGUUCUGAGGCCUUCAGACUUAGACUAAACCACACUACUGGCUUCCCUGCUUCUGAGGCUUUAGACUGGGACCAAGCCAUGCUCCUGACUUCCUUGAUUCUCCAGUUUGCAGAUAGCUUAUUAUGGAACUGCUUAGCCACCAUAAUCAAGUAAGAGCUGUUCCCGGCUUCUAGAGGAUGUCUACAUUCUUUGGAUCAUGGUCCCUUUCUGUCAUCUUCAAAGUCAGCAACA
rnacentral:lncRNA from 1 species